rnacentral:rRNA from 1 species
UACGUAGGGUGCAAGCGUUAAUCGGAAUUACUGGGCGUAAAGCGUGCGCAGGCGGUUAUGUAAGACAGUUGUGAAAUCCCCGGGCUCAACCUGGGAACUGCAUCUGUGACUGCAUAGCUAGAGUACGGUAGAGGGGGAUGGAAUUCCGCGUGUAGCAGUGAAAUGCGUAGAUAUGCGGAGGAACACCGGUGGCGAAGGCGGCAUCCUGGACCGGCAUUGACGCUGAGGCGCGAAAGCCAGGGGAGCAAACGGG